GCCGACUCCUGUCAGUUGGGGUGUUGUGAGCUUAGAUUAAAUGACUAGUGCGAAACACAUAGCACUUGAUAGGUUCAAAUAUUUUGUUUGAAGAUAGUAGUGGGUAUAGUGUCUUGGACUCAGAGGGACAAGAUCUUGGCACAAGGCUUCUUUGACCUUAGUUUUAGUUUCUGUGUCUGUAAAGGAGGGAUCAUUAUUCCUGAGACUAAAAUGGCAGGUGCGUGGCUCACAGGAAGCACGCCUUGACAGAAGGGGCUGUUUUUCUUUUCCUCAGCCUUCUUCUCCAUCCUCCCCUCUGUGCCAAGGCAGCUGCCAACUUGCUGGGAUCUAGGAGGAAAAUCCCACAUCUGUCUCUGGAUCCAAGUGCCACUACCUUGCCUUCAGCUCCUGGGAGGGGGUGGCGAUUAUAAUUUGGCAGGAGGCCUAAAUGCACAGAUACUUGAAAGUCUGCCAGCCUGACCAGUUUAAAUCAGCAAAUCAUCACUCAUUUGCUUUGAGAGGAUCUGCAAAACUGACGUGUGCCACAAGCUUUUCUUGUGUUACAACAAACUCAUGAAUGGGAUGUCUUCCUCAUUCUUCCAGAGGAUUCCAUGUUUCAGAUAAUCAAUGCAAUGAGUACCAUAUCAGCUUGCUUCACCUCAGACUGUGUACAGAGAUAUCAGAUAUGGAAUGUCAACCCUUCACCUUCAUCACUCGGAUACCAAGUUGCAGAUGCUACCAUGAUGUCAACCUGACUUUCCCGGGCACAUGACCCCAUCAAUAUACCCUGUAACCCCACCUCUCUAGAGUCCUGCCCACUUGGGAAAGAUAUAAACAGGCUGAAAGUAUGGAUCGAUCUGCCAACACCUAUGUCCAGUAGAGAAGAAAUUACAGAAGCCAAACCUUUCACCUUCUGCACCCCAUAAUCAUCCUGGGUCCAUGCUCCCAGAGAGAUUUAAAGUCCAAUCCCACACUGAAGCUUUCGACUGAACCAAGAAUAAGCCAGGUGUUGAUAAUUUUAAGGAGUGUAUAAUUUCUAAUAAUACUGAGCAGUGACAUGAUUUGGCUUCCCUUGUUACAUUUUUAAAAAAUAAUCUUUGUAACACAAGUGUAAAGAAAAGUG